rnacentral:rRNA from 1 species
GUAAACAAGGUUUCCGUAGGUGAACCUGCGGAAGGAUCAUUAUUGAUUAAAUCUGGUCAGGCUAGCUGCUGGCUUUUCGGAGUAUGUGCACGCCUGUCCAUUUUUAUUUUAACCACCUGUGCACUCCUUGUAGAUCUGAAAUUUUACUCAGGUUCACCAACCUGGUUAGAGGAAUUGCUAUAUCAUAGCUGUCCUUGAUUUUCAGACCUAUGUCUUUAUUAUACACCAUAAAUAUAAUAGAAUGUUUAAUGAUUAAGGCUUGAUUGCCUUUUAAUAACAUUAUACAACUUUCAACAACGGAUCUCUUGGCUCUCGCAUCGAUGAAGAACGCAGCGAAAUGCGAUAAGUAAUGUGAAUUGCAGAAUUCAGUGAAUCAUCGAAUCUUUGAACGCACCUUGCGCUCCUUGGUAUUCCGAGGAGCAUGCCUGUUUGAGUGUCAUUAAAUUCUCAACCUAUUCAGCUUUUUUCAAAAGUUGUAGUAGGCUUGGACUGUGGGGGUUUUGCAGGUUUCGCAAGAAAUCAGCUCCUCUCAAAUAUAUUAGCAGAACCUUUUGUGGAUCAGCAUUGGUGUGAUAAUUAUCUACGCCAUUUACUGUGAAGCACCUUUGAAUAGAAGGGGGUUUGGCUUAUAACAGUUCAUUAACUUGAACAAUUUUUCUGAUAUUUGACCUCAAAUCAGGUAGGACUACCCGCUGAACUUAAGCAUAUCAAUAAGCGGGAGGGAAAAGAAACUAACAAGGAUUCCCCUAGUAACUGCGAGGAAAGCGGGGAA